UCUAUAAUGACAGAAUAAUGUGAUGGAUUUAAGACCCAUUUAUAAAGAUAUAUUAUCUUUUUAUAGAA
rnacentral:tRNA from 1 species